rnacentral:rRNA from 1 species
GACGAACGCUGGCGGCAGGCCUAACACAUGCAAGUCGAGCGAGCGGCGGACGGGUGAGAAAUGUCUGGGAAACAGCCCGAUGGAGAGGGGUAACUACUGGAAACGGGAGAUAAUACCGCAUACCACAAGAUGGGCCCCGAUGGGAGUAGCUGGUAGGUGGGGUACAGGCUCACCUAGGCGACGAUGCCAAGCUGGGCUGAGAGGAUGACCAGCCACACUGGAACUGAGACACGGUCCAGACUCCUACGGGAGGCAGCAGUGGGGAAUCUUGCACAAUGGGCGCAAGCCUGAUGCAGCAAUGCCGCGUGAGUGAAGAAGGCCUUCGGGUUGUAAAGUACUUUCAGCGGGGAGGCGUUACCCGCACAGAAAGCACCGGCUAACUCCGUGCCAGCAGCCGCGGUAAUAC